rnacentral:tRNA from 1 species
GCCCGGGUGGCCCAACGGUAGAGGCACCGCCUUCAGGAGGCGGCCAGUGUGCGUUCGAAUCGCACCCCGGGUA